GCAGAUAAAAGAGAUGGACGAUAGGGAACUAAUUUUGAAUGUGAAGGAAUACGAAGAGCUCUACGAUACUAGCACUACAGAUUACUACAAUCAACUCGUGCGAGAUAAAAUAUGGGAAGAAAUAGCAGCGAAAAUGGGAGUAACAGGUAAACGAUGUAAAACAAGGUGGAGUUAUCUGAGGGAUCUCUAUAUGAAAUCUCGAAAGACUAGGAAAAUGAGGCGUGUAGAUGGUAGCACCACGACGAAACCGUGGACAUACGAAUACGAGAUGGAAUUCUUGAAUCCGUUUCUUGGUCAGCUGAAAUCGAGUCAGUUUAUACGCAAUAGGAGACAAGGAUUGCAGCACAAGUCCGAGUUGCGACUUCCUGAAGAAAUUACAUUAAACGCCGUCGCAAAUAAUGUUCCUCCAUCAUCUUUGACACCAAAUCGUGUUUCUCCUCCCCCUCCCCCUUCUUCCCCUUCAUUGGACCAGAGUUUAAAGUGUACGUUUAGAAAACCAGAGUCCGUUAGCUCCGCAGCGUUCGUUCAGGACGCUUCGAACGGUAGACCAGCGCCGCCUGGCGACGCUUUGUUAAAAUACUUCGAAGCCGUUACGGAAACCGUCAGAGGAUUCCCGCCCACGCUUCAAGUGAAAGUAAAGUCGGAAAUAUCGAAAAUAGUACAUCAAGCAGAGUUAGAGCAUAUUCAGCAGACACAGUUCGAACCUUUUCUACAACCAGGGCAGGAUUUGACACACAUACAGUUUUCACCCGAUAACACGGUAAAUUCGCAAUAUGAGUUUGAAUGCUGCGUAACGAAACAAGAGCAACCAGGAUGAACGCUCUGGUAGUUGGUUUUUAGAGAUUACGUUUUAAACGAAGGCCUGUCUGAAAUUCUUUACUCUCGUCGGUUCUGGUUCUUGCUGCGAGGUUAAUUCUUAUGUACCGUUCAGCGAAGAAGGUGAAUGGGAUACACCGGGAAUGAGUGAGAUAGAUCAAGAGCGAGCGAGAGUCCCCCAUUACGUGCGUUUGGUGGCCAUAACUUCAAAGCGAUACCGUAUGCAUAUCAUUUUGUUAAUCGUUAUUGCAAAAUAAAAAGUUUCUUUUUUUCUUUUUUAUUUUGUUAGAGUUUCUGAAAAGGCACAGCGGCGUUUACAUCCUCACUCCUGAUGUGGUCCGCUGACUCACCGGUAUUGGUCGAAAACAGUGACGAAGAUAGGUGACAGCCAAUCAGCGGACUGCAGCAAGAGUGGGGAUGUGAACACGCUGCGCCUUCUUCUCGUGGAAGGACGAUACAAGAUACUUAUAUUCUCGAUUUCUCUUUUUCGUCAUACCACUAAUACUUGAAUCAUUGUACUUGAAAUUAUUGUACAUUGUUUGGUACAUAUU